GAAUAAUGCUAGGGUACGAUGCGGAGCGAAAUUUAGUAGCGAAGUAGCUGAUUUCACACUGUCGAGAAAAGUCUCUAUCGAGGUUAAAGGUGCCUGUACCGCAAACCGACACAGGUGGGUGAGGAGAGUAUCCUAAGGCCAGCCAGAGAACUGUUGUUAAGGAACUCGGCAAAAUGACCCCGUAACUUAGGGAGAAGGGGUGCCUUCGAAAGAAGGCCGCAGAGAAUAGGCCCAAGCGACUGUUUACCAAAAACAUAGGUUUCUGCUAAGUCGCAAGACGAUGUAUAGGAGCUGACGCCUGCCCGGUGCUGGAAGGUUAAGGGGAUCUGUUAGAGCAAUCGAAGCAGUGAACUUAAGCCCCAGUAAACGGCGGCCGUAACUAUAACGGUCCUAAGGUAGCGAAAUUCCUUGUCGGGUAAGUUCCGACCCGCACGAAAGGCGUAACGAUUUGGGCACUGUCUCAACAACAGACUGGGUGAAAUUGUAAUACCGGUGAAGAUGCCGGUUACCUGCGACAGGACGGAAAGACCCCAUGGAGCUUUACUGUAGCUUGACAUUGAGUCUCGGUGCUACAUGUACAGGAUAGGUGGGAGGCUAUGAAGCAUGGACGUCAGUCUGUGUGGAGUCAUCCUUGGGAUACCACCCUUGUAGUACUGGGAUUCUAACCAGAGGCCAUGAAUCUGGUCUUGGGACACUGUCAGGUGGACAGUUUGACUGGGGCGGUCGCCUCCCAAAAAGUAACGGAGGCGCUCAAAGGUUCUCUCAGUACGGUCGGAAAUCGUACGAAGAGUGUAAAGGCAAAAGAGAGCUUGAUUGCAAGACAUACAGGUCGAGCAAGGACGAAAGUCGGACUUAGUGAUCCGGUGGUUCCGCAUGGAAGGGCCAUCGCUCAACGGAUAAAAGCUACCCUGGGGAUAACAGGCUGAUCUCCCCCAAGAGUCCACAUCGACGGGGAGGUUUGGCACCUCGAUGUCGGCUCAUCACAUCCUGGGGCUGUAGUAGGUCCCAAGGGUUGGGCUGUUCGCCCAUUAAAGUGGUACGCGAGCUGGGUUCAGAACGUCGUGAGACAGUUCGGUCCCUAUCCGUCGCAGGCGUAGGAAAUUUGAGGAGACCUGUCCUUAGUACGAGAGGACCGGGAUGGACGUACCGCUGGUGUACCAGUUGUUCUGCCAAGGGCAUAGCUGGGUAGCUAAGUACGGAAAGGAUAAGCGCUGAAAGCAUCUAAGCGCGAAGCCUACUUCGAGAUAAGAUUUCCCACCGCAAGGUUAAGACCCCAUGAAGACUACAUGGUUGAUAGGUCAGAGGUGGAAGUGUGGUAACAUAUGUAGCUUACUGAUACUAAUAGGUCGAGGACUUGACCAA
rnacentral:rRNA from 1 species